ACGUCCGUUCCUGAGCACCAUGCAAUGAUGGCAUGCUGCAGCCUGUGCUGGCCGAGGGGUGCUGGGCCAUCCGGCUCCAUGCAGGCAGCGAGCUGCUCCUCUGCUUGUUAACAUUCUGUACAGCGCUGCUGUGUGCUGGAGGCGCAAGUCUCCGGAGUCUCUUGAAUUGUAAAAUCCAUCUGUUAUUGAAGGUAAUUAUUACAAAUGCUGUAGAGACUAAUCUUGCUGAUUCUGCCUGCCGGCAGCAUUGUCCUACAGGGCUGUGCUGGCUGCCGUUCCUGUGCUGUUUUCCCCAUGGCUGUGCAAGAACACCAAACCGACUCCUAUGGUGGCUGUUGCUUUUCCAGCUCAGUUGUUUUAUUUUAGCCUCUUUCUCUCUGCAGUGGUGCUGGAAAUCCUUCUCGUUUAUAAAAUCACACUGUCAAAGGCUGCAUUAUGCGUGGGAGGUGCUCAAUUUUAAAUCUGGACCCACAGUUCAAAGUGACCGCCCUUACGAGGGAGGAAGGCAAAGCUCUCAAAUUAGAACUUCAUGGCUUUGAAAUAAGAUCAGAAUUUAAAUGUUUCAAAGCAGAGCUCCUGCCGGUCGAGUCACUGCUGCUCCCAGCGUUUUAGCACAGAGCAGUUCAGCCAGCAUUAGCCAUAGGCAACGGGUAGUGCUCACAGCAGUUCAGUCAUUGCCACAAGAGUGCUGAUCUGCAGCAGCAGGCACACGUGUCUGAGCCCUAAUGGGGUGUUUUUACACACUGAACUCAUUUACGGCGUUCCAUGCGUUCCUUUUGCUGAAUGUUGCCUUCACUGGAGCAGGCGGACGCUUUGCCAUCAGCAUACUACAAGGUUUACACCAAGGUAAGAGCCAUGCAAGGCUGUGACAGCUGCUUGACAUUGCUGUGCUAUGGAAAAUGGUCCCAAGACCACGCGACACGUCCUGCAAGGAUGAAAUGAGAAGUGCAGUAAGAGGAGAUGGAUUAUACUGCAAAGCUCCUUCUGCCUCAGCCCACCUCUCUCCCUCCCUGCUCCAACCUGGUGUCCUCUGCUGCAGCGCAUCCUUCUGUUCCUGCAGUCACUGUACCCACGUGGGGCCGUGUUGCCCAACUUGUACCGCGAUCAUCUGCGUUUCAAGGAGAGGGGUGCUGCCCUUGUGGGACUUCAGAAAACUCCUCUUCUUCUGGAGAGAGGAUUGUAACGAUUGGGAUUUUUCAACUUCUGCACUGUCAGGUGUUGCUCAGCUGCUGCCCCAGGAACACUUGCUCAGAUCUGGAUGACUGACUUCACUGCAGAGUUACUGCUGAUGGAAAUGCCUUAAAUGGGAGGGGAAGAAAUCCCUCAAAGAAAAGAAACAAGCCAUGCUGAAGGAGGACAUGCCAGCCAGCAGGAUGGGCAGUGCUGUUCUCCAUAGUUGGUGCAGCUGGGCUGCUGCCUCGGGACAGUGCAGGGAGCUGCUCUGGAGGGGCAGAGCUCCUUUCAGUGCAUCCACCUCAUGGGCAGCUACAGAGCGUUGCUGGAUGGGGAAACUGAGGCAUUAGAGAGGCUACGUGACUUGCCCAAGGUCACAGGUGAGUCAGUGGCAGAGCUGGGAACAGACCUCAAGUCUUGCUGUCUUGUCCUGUGCUCUGUCACUGUGCAUGCUGCUUCUGUAGGGACCACGUAUACAAAUAGUUGAGUAUUUACAUAUAUACCAGUAUGUGAGUAAUAUACAAUUAUCCAAAUCAUCUGCAGAGAUGUUGCUUAAUUUCUUAUUUCUAAAACAACUUCAGUCUCUGACCUGGAGUACGCUGCCUCCUAGCUCUGUGACAGUCCGUGUCUGGGGGUCUGACUGCCUACUGGUGAUUGCUGUAGGUUACAAAGCCAGGUGAAAAUGAUGCCGGGGAUGGGAGGUGAGAAAUAAA
ensembl:lncRNA